rnacentral:lncRNA from 1 species
ACAUGCUUCAAGAUGGCCACCAUUGUUCCUGUUCUCAAGAAAGCUAAGGUAGCACUCACUUCUGUCAUCAUGAAGUGCUUUGAUCAUAGGAUCAUAUCACCUCCACUACCUGUUACCCUAGACCCAUUCCAAUUUGCUUACCGCCCCAAUAGGUCCACAGACGAUGCAAUCGCCAUCACACUGCACGCUGGCCUAUCCCAUCUGGACAAGAGGAAUACCUAUGUAAGAAUGCUGUUCAUUGACUAUAGCUCAGUAUUCAACACCAUAGUACCCUCAAUACUCAUCAUUUAGCUUGAGACCCUGGGUCUCAACCCCGUCCUGUGCAACUGGGUCCUGGAUUUUCUGACAGGCCGCCCCCAGGUGGUGAAUGUAGGAAACAACAUCUCCACCCUGCUGAUCCUCAACACUGGGGCCCCACAAGGGUGCGUUCUCAGCCUUCUCCUACACUCCUGUUCACCCAUGACUGCGUGGCCAUGCACGCCUCCAACUCGAUCAUCAAGUUAGCAGACGACACUACAGUGGUAGGCCUGAUUACCAACAACGACGAGACAGCCUACAGGGAGGAGGUGAAGGCCCUCGGAGUGUGGUGUCAGGAAAAUAACCUCUCACUCCAUGUAAACAAAACAAAGGAGAUAUUCGUGGACUUCAGGAAACAGCAAAGGGAGCACCCUCCUAUCCACAUCGACGGAACAGUAGUGGAGAAGGUGGGAAGUUUUAAGUUCCUCUGCGUACACAUCACGGGCAAGCUGAAAUGGUCCACCCACACAGACAGCAUGGUGAAGAAGGCGCAACAGCGCCUCUUCAACCUCAGGAGGCUGAUGAAAUUUGUCUUGUCCCCCAAAACCCUCACAAACUUCUACAGAUGCACAAACGAGAGCCUCCGGCAACUGCACCGCCCUCAACUGAAUGGCUCUCCAGAGGUUAGUGCGGUCUGCACUACACAUCACCAGGGGAAAACUACCUGCUUUCCAGGACACCUAUAGCACCCGAUGUCACAGGAAGGACAAAAAGAUAAUCAAGGACAAUAACCACCCGUGCCACUGCGUGUUCACCCCGCUAUUAUCCAGAAGGCGAGGUCAGUACAGGUGCAUCAAAGCUGGGACCGAGAGACUAAAAACAGCUUCUGUCUCAAGGCCAUCAGACUGUUAAACAGCAAUCACUAACAUAGAGAGGCUGCGGAACAACAUAGAGACUCAAAUCGCUACCCACUUUAAUGGUAUCGCUAGUCACUUUAAAUAAUGCCACUUUAAUAAUGUUUACAUAUCCUACAUUAAUAAUCUCAUAUGUAUAUACUGUAUUUUAUACAAUCUAUUGCAUCUUGCCUAUCCAUAUAUUUAUAUGUACGUAUUCUUAUUCCAUCCCCUUACAUUGUGUGUAUAAGGUAGUCAUUGUGAAUUUGUUAGAUUACUUGUUAGAUAUUACUGCACUGUCGGAACUAAAAACACAAGCAUUUUUCUACACUCGCAUUAACAUCUGCUAUCCAUGUGUAUGUGACAAAUACAAUUUGAUUUGAUGUAUCUGCUAUUUGUAUUUACAGCUAAGUCCACUCCUGUUCCCUGAUUAAGAGGUGAUGACUACUCCACUCCACUACCUUUGUCAACUUUCUCCUGACAUGAACUGAAGCCACAUCUCAUGUGCCAUCUCAUAAACUGGCACAUUGAAUGUUUCCCCUCCAAGCACUUCAAAUCAUGUCCUGCACUGGUCAAGCCUAUGAACACCUCAACUCAUGCCUCAUACCCUCAUUCAAUCACUGCUGUGAUCCCUUUCCCAUGUAAGUAGCCCUCUCAUUCCCAUUCCCCAUAGUAUUGUACUAUAAAUAAAUGUAUAAAAGGCUUUAGGUUAAAUUAUUAUUAUCAAUUAUUAUUGAAACACACUGUCGUCUCCGUGCUUUACGUGCCUAUACCAUGGGUCUCCCAUCCUCCUCAAUUUUUCAAGUCACCAGCGUCCACUGGUCAGAAAUGGGGGAGAGAUGAGUGGCGUUGGAAGAGUAUCCAACCUAACCACACUCUGAGUCACAUGUUUCUUAAUCACACUCUGCAAGAGAUGUGAUGCUAUUAUUACAGAGGACUUCCCUUCCUGUGAUCUGUGGCUAUUCUUUCAAUCAUUGUGCCUUCUUGACAAACCUGAAAUGACAACAAUAUCUCUGCUACUCUCACCGUGAUCUGGGUAUGUAUGACGUUCAAUUCAACUUCAUAGUUGUCUCUAUAUUGUGCACAGUUAGCCGUACUCCCUCUCCUAUGAGCUAUCCCUUAUAACAAUAUACAUAGAGGCAGGGGCGGACUGAAACAAUAAUUCAGGCCGGGAAUUUGAGUCCAUCCCAGGCCACCCUGUUCACGCAAACCACCAGACCACUAAUAUUGUAGGCUAACCCUAUUUGUUGAUGUAACAGGUACCAAACUAGUUAUACAUUUGGGCACUAUGUUCAUCUGGGAAGAAAGUCAUCCACAUUACAAAAUACAAACAUUUGGGGCUGACCAACAGGUAGCCUAUCUGAACACUGAGUUUUCAAGUUAUGCUAUGGCUAUGGGUGCACCCUCAAACUCACUAGGAAUACACCAAUCAUAGCACAUACAAAUAUACAAGGCUAGACACACAAAUCAAUUAGCCUACACUUUUUAAAAAGAGAAUGAGAUAUACAGAUUUAGCUCAAAUGUUCAAAUGAUUAUCUUUAUAUUACAGCAUCAAGCAUAUCAGAAGUAUCAAAAAACUUCACACACACACACAUUCACGGAACUUGAACAGAAGCUACAACAAUGUAAGUAACUAUAAUACAAAAGUCGAAAAAGCACUCCUCUACAAACAUUUUUUGAUUACAAUGUUCCCUCACUGGUGUCCAUAAAGCCAACAGCACACAAUAAACACAUCUAUACACUGAGUCAAUAAAAUUGAACAUUGGCUACAUAACUGCAAGUAUAAUAUGAAAGUCCAAAAAACAUACCUCUGUACACAAGCUUUAACUCACAGCAAAUUUUAUUUCACCCUUGUCAGCCUGUUAAGAGUCAUAGCAUAGCUACUUCAGAGUAACCAGUAAGUAAUUACCACUAGUAACAAUAUAAGCUCAAAAAACUAGCCAUGAUUGUCGGCCGUGUUUUCCAAGUUAUAUGCAGCUUAAUGUCUGUGUGCUCUGUAGCUAAGCCCACAUUUACCAAUAACUUCAACUACAUCAAUCACACGUUCCAUGACCUGCCUCCUCUUUCUGACCUGGUCUCGUUGAACUGACAUUUGCUUAUCACUCAGACGGGUACAGAUGUCUGCUUUGCUGGCUCUGAGGAAAAAGGCUUCUGCACUUUCUCUAUGGGUCUUGCUUCUCUCAUGUUCCUGUACUCUCUGAUGGGCAUGUUUCCAGGCCUGCAUGCCUCCUUUGACAAAUGCACUAUCACUGGCUGAAGGUUUUGCGAACGCAAGACAUACUGAGCAGAACAAGGAGUGAGUUACUUCAUUGUAUGUCAGCCAUUUUCUGUUUGUGCCAUCUUUGGAGUGGAAUACAUUGGGAAUGACUCUUUGAGGGGUUUGUUUUAGGUGGUACUGAAAAAAUAAGUCAAAAUCCUUGGACUGAGGACGGGCAAAAUAAUCAAAUGGAUUUUCAGUGCUUUCGCUGUCCCUUUCUAUUUUCUCUAUACUGGGCUCUGAACCUCUCUCUCUCUGCACAUCUGGCUGCUCUGCAGAAUGAGAUUAACAUUGUAAAUAACCUCAAUUUAAACUUGUAUUACUUGUGCAGUCAUCGAUUGUAUGCCCCCCGAUAACAGUCCUACUGAUCAUCUCAUAAAUAAAGCACAUAUUAAUCUGAAAUCAAAGCCUACAUGUUUAGGUUGGUGCUCUUAAGUUGUACCUGAAGGUUCCUGCUCUGAGUCUGACUGAACUGACCACCAUCUCCAGUUCUGCAGGAGCACCUGAAGCUCUAGUGCUGCUGCUGCUUCCUUCUCCACCUUUACAAAGAAAAUACUCUAUUAUCAUACACACAAUCAUUAGUGUAUCAGUAGGCUACAUUAAUACAGCUCUGGAAAAAAUUAAGAGUGGUCUCUUAAUUUGGAGUGGCCUCUUAAUUUUUCCUAGAGCUGUAUAUUAUAGUAGUAUCUUGUAAUGCUUGUACUAAUGGCGCUAAUGAUCUUUGUCAUUGCUUGUGCUGUGUCACACAGACUACUGUGUUCCGUUCAUGGAUGUAUUAUGGUUACGUUACUGUAGCCUGUUUCGCUGUACAGUGUAUGUGCACUUUCCCCAGCUUAUGUGGUAUGAGUCAUGACCGAAUGCUGGCAAGUCCAUAGUCUAGGUUUACUACUUUUACUGGUUGAAACAUAUUGCCUUCAAGGUCAUAAUAUGAUCGCUAUGUUGCACUCAUUGCUAUGAUAUAAUUCCUCCACGAAGACGUAAGACGUGCAAACUGUUUAGCCUACCGGCCGUUGUGUAACUAUUAUUAGCUAGGCUACUUAGCUAGCCAUGCUGGGUGUCGUGUGUGUGUCAGUGUGUGUGGUUUAGCUAGCCAUGCUGGGUGUCGUGUGUGUGUGUCAGUGUGUGUGGUUUAGCUAGCCAUGCUGGGUGUCGUGUGUGUGUGUGUGUGUGUGUGUGUGUGUGUGUGUGUCAGUGUGUGUGGUUUAGCUAGCCAUGCUGGGUGUCGUGUGUGUGUGUGUCAGUGUGUGUGGUUUAGCUAGCCAUGCUGGGUGUCGUGUGUGUGUGUGUCAGUGUGUGUGUGUGUGUGGUUUAGCUAGCCAUGCUGGGUGACGUGUGUGUGUCUGUGUGUGUGGUUUAGCUAGCCAUGCUGGGUGUCGUGUGUGUGUCAGUGUGUGUGGUUUAGCUAGCCAUGCUGGGUGUCGUGUGUGUGUCAGUGUGUGUGGUUUAGCUAGCCAUGCUGGGUGUCGUGUGUGUGUCAGUGUGUGUGGUUUAGCUGGUGUUUUUGACUGACCUGGUCCCUUAAUGGCGAACAUGUCGCUUAUUUUGCUGCGUCUGUGGCAAGGGCCUUUCUCUUUUUUAUUCUCUCCCUCUCUGCUUCACCUUUCCUCUUCUGUCUGUCCAUUUCGCCGUGCGACUUGUCUUAAAUGUUAUCCGUAGAGAGGCAGGUAGACGCUUGCUAUAUGCAUCGCGGAGAGACCUGAUGUCAUUUUGGUGUGUGCACCCUCACGCCGGGGCACUGCAGCGAGUGAGUGAGAGUCGCGCCUGAUGUGUGGAUUCUCCGUCAACUCAUUCCUGCUUGCUAUAUUAUUGCUGGUCAAGUUGGCUAUUCACCGCAGGCCAAAACGACCCGGUGCUCCCGACGGCCAGUCCGCCAUUGCAUAGAGGAGUGGUACAUGACACCAGGCCAGACUUUCUGGUUAUCUCAGAGACUUGGCUGAAUCAUGGUAUUAUGGAUAAUGAUGUUGCCGGUGUUGACUAUAACAUUUUCAGAUGUGAUAGACACAUUGCCCUGGCACAUUACAUCCAUCUGCGGCAAAAGAGAAAAUCUAGUUUGGUUUUUUAGACUCUCAGUGUUAUUACAUUCCUUCCACAGUCCUUUCUGUAACAAAACUACACCUUGAUCUGAACAACCUGCAUCCAAUGCGCUAGACCUGUUAUCUAAUGGCUCCACCCAGAUCGCCUUUGUGGUUAGUGAUCUGUCUAGUAUCCGUGGCGUUAGUACUAACUGUACCCCAAUGCAUUCUCGUGUCUUCAUAUUUGGCAACCCAUUCUAUGCUAGUAGUCAAUCUUUCCUUUUUUACAUGGUUCAGUAACCAUCAAAGCAACCGACACGAAAGACUAUUGCAGGUAAAGUGGCUCCCAUUAUGUAUUAUGUCAUUCUGUAUUAUGUUUCAUGUUUUGUGUGGACCCCAGGAAGAGUAGCUUCUGCUUUUGCAACAGCUAAUGGGAAUCCUAAUCAAAUAUCAAAUACCAAAUACCAGACCCAACCCAACCCAACUGCUUCCUCUUUCUAUUCAGCUCUGCUUCCUCUAUCAUAGCGGCUUCCAGCUCACCCAUUAUGCAGCUGGAUCUGGUUUCACGUGAGAUGUGUGAACCCACUGAGGAGAGGCUGUGGUCUUCACCGCUGCACGUGCUGUAAGGAGUACUGUAUGUGGUCCUGACCUACCCCGUCCCAACACCCCCGCCUGGUGGAUGCUGAUGUACAACUCGGUCUCCAGGAUUCAGUCCGUGCUCUCGAUCUUCCAGUCUGGAUGACCAGACGACGGGUCCGGAACAGCGAUACCAUUCCGGACAUCCGCUGCCCAUCCUUGGAGCGGCCUGCUUCAUUCGCAUAAACCCAACCCGGAUCAAUCACCAGAGGGGGACCACAACGAUGGUCCACAACCAGGACAACCCACGAUCAUUUUUAUGUUGGUUUGCAACUUGCAGGAUAAUCGCAAGAUUGAACCCAACAAAGGGGAAUUGUCAUGACGUUGCCCUGUUGGGUGUGGUUUAUGACCCCCAUAGAUACCUUUCCCCCUUUUCUCGCCACUCUACAGAAUGGACUCUUGGAAAGCCCUUUGUUAACAUAGAGAGAGUAUGGUAACAUCAAAAUGUUGGGGAAUGGAACAAUAUUUCACUUUCUCAACCAGUUGAAAGUGUCAGUUGGUACUUAAAGAAUAUGAUGUCAGAUCAGUUGGUGUCUGGGACAUUAUAUCUGAUGAUAGGAUGACAUAAAUUGUAUCUUGGAAUGUCGACACAUUCCAGUUAUCAGAUUCACAUGGAAUUGUUGUGCAAUUUAAAUGUUUAAAUAUUAAACUAUUUAUGAAAAGAUGAAAUGUAAUUUUAGCUUUUAAAUGAGAGAAUUAUUUUCAUAAGUAAACUAUGCUCACUCAGUGGCCACACCCAAGUGAACAGACAUUGGUUGAGAACUAUGAAACACGCCCUUCUCUCCCCCACUACAAAAGCACGUUGACGGAAGUCAAAUUUAGUUCCCGAUGACAUGAGGACUGGUGUCCAUAUGUUUAAAAGGGCUAAUUUCAACGUGGAGGUGAUGAUCACCACGCUGGAAGGAUGAAUUUCUACUAGACCAGCCAGAAUUCAGCGUGAGCUGAUUAUGGCAAAAUGGUAUGAACUUUGAACUCUUAUUCAGUAAAGAAGAAGCGAUACAUCCUAGAAGUCGAGGAUUCAGCUGCAGUUGUAAACGUACGUGGCCUAGGAAAGGACAGACAAUCUCCUAAGAAUGACAGUGUACUUCAACGUAUCCUCUCUACAACACUACAACCAGAACGAUUCUGCAAAGGACAAUGGCGAUCUCUACUGGGCAAACUAGUCUUCCAUCUGCGACCCACCUAUCAAAGCGCAGCUCAGUGAGUGCUUUGAGGACAUCGACACAGCCCUGAAGCAUGGCUACCCCAAUCAACUGCAACACAAACUACAGGACAGAUGCAUAAAGUGCCUCAACCACCUCCAAAACCAGGGAGAGGCGCUAAACACCCCCAGACAGGGAUAAGGGGACCAGGCAGAGGGUGUGUGUAGCAGGCCCAGGGGCACAAAGUCCCCAAACUCCCAGCAGCAACAGAAUGGGAGUGCUCCUGUGUCAUGUGACUUUACUGUGGUGCAGUCCAGCCAGGCCGUGUGCAUUGCCAUGGCGAUAUUUCCCACGCUGAGUGUUCUGAACCAGUCCUGCAGCCUCAACACAAGCCUCACUUUCAGAACUACUCACACACACACUACUUGGACUCACCUCAACCAGACCUAUGCUCUACUGAUGAACUGGUUUCUACUGUCAAUCAAUCACAUCAGCCGAUGUCACAAAGUGCUAUACAGAAACCCAGUCUAAAACCCCAAACAGCAAGCAAUGCAGAUGUAGAAGCAGAGAGAGUCCUGUUUCCUGUUCUACUUCUCACUCUGUGUCAGAUGGAGUAUCUGUCUCUAUCAGAACAUCCAGAGACAUAUCUCGUGGACAGGUGAUCCUCUACUGCUAUGGUGAGGAAGAGACACGUCUGUCAACCUCUGGUUCUGUCCUUCUGUCUGUCAGUCUGUCCAUAUGUACACUACCGUUCAAAAGUUUGGGGUCACAUAGAAAUGUCCUUGUUGAAAGAGAAGCACAUUUUUUGUCCAUUAAAAUCACAUAAAAUUGAUCAGAAAUACAGUGUAGACAUUGUUAAUGUUGUAAAUGACUAUUGUACCUGGAAAUGGCAAAAUUUUGUGGAUUAUCUACAAAGGCACACAGAGGCCCAUUAUCAGCAACCAUCACUCCUGUGUUCCAAGUUUAUCAUUUUAAAAGGCUAAUUGAUCAUCAGAAAACCCUUUUGCAAUUAUGUUAGCACAGCUGUUGUUCUGAUUAAAGAAGCAAUACAACUGGCCUUCUUUAGACUAGUUGAGUAUCUGGAGAAUCAGCAUUUGUGGGUUCGAUUACAGGCUCAAAAGACCUUUCUUCUGAAGCUCGUCAGUCUAUUCUUUUUCUGAGAAACUGUAAUACUAUAACUAUAACUAUAAUAACACAGUACAUCAUACAACAUUAUUACACCACUACAUAUCUACAGUACAAAAUGUAUAAAACCACCAUACAACAAUAUUACAAUGUACGUGUGUAGUGUGUGUGCUGGAGUGUGUGUGUGUGUCUGUGUGUCUCUUCACAGUCUGUGCUGUUCCAUAAGGUGUAGUAUGUUUAUUUCAUUUGUAUUAAAGUUACUUGAUGUGGAAAUGAGAUCCAUGUAGUCAUGGCUCUAAGUAGUACUGUGCGCCUCCCAUAGUCUAUUCUGGACUUGGGGAAUGUGAAGAGACCUCUGGUGGCAUGUCUUGUGGGGUAUGCAUGGGUGUCCUAGCUGUGCACCAGUAGUUCAAACAGACAGCUCGGUGCUUUCAACAUGUCAAUACCUCUCACAAAGACAAGUAGUGAUGAAGUCAAUCUCUCCUCUGCUUUAAACCAGGACAGAUUGACAUGCAUGUCAAUGAUAGCUCUGUGUGUACAUGUAAGUGCCAGA